rnacentral:rRNA from 1 species
UGAGGAAUAUUGGUCAAUGGGCGAGAGCCUGAACCAGCCAAGUAGCGUGCAGGAUGACGGCCCUAUGGGUUGUAAACUGCUUUUAUGCGGGGAUAAAGUGCGCGACGUGUCGUGCAUUGCAGGUACCGCAUGAAUAAGGACCGGCUAAUUCCGUGCCAGCAGCCGCGGUAAUACGGAAGGUCCGGGCGUUAUCCGGAUUUAUUGGGUUUAAAGGGAGCGUAGGCCGCCAGAUAAGCGUGUUGUGAAAUGUACCGGCUCAACCGGUGAAUUGCAGAGCGAACUGUUUGGCUUGAGUGCACGGUAAGCAGGCGGAAUUCAUGGUGUAGCGGUGAAAUGCUUAGAUAUCAUGAAGAACUCCGAUUGCGAAGGCAGCUUGGUGCAGUGCGACUGACGCUGAUGCUCGAAGGCGCGGGUAUCAAACAGG